rnacentral:sRNA from 1 species
CCUUAGCCCUGAUCGCAGCGGCAUCCUUUAUGUUCUUUCUUUAAGAACAUAAAGAUACAGCGGAGAGCAGGAAUAGCU